rnacentral:rRNA from 1 species
GGUAUUGUAAUAAGACUUUAAUUGAGUGCUAAGAGAAUGGAUUUUCAAAAAAAUUCUUUUUUAAGUUUAAAAAUUAAAGUUAUUUUUAUUUGUGAAGAAACAAUAAUAAAAAUUAAAGACAAGAAGACCCUAUGAAUUUUUAUAAACUUUAAUAUUUAAUUAAAUAUUAAAGUUUAUUUAAUUGGGGCGAUUGAGAAAGAUAAAAAACUUUUUUUUUAUUUAAAGAGAUCCAUUAUUAAUGAUUUUAUGUAAAAAAUACUCUAGGGAUAACAGCGUAAUAAUUUUAGAUAGAUCUUAUAGAAAAAAUAGUUUGCGACCUCGAUGUUGGAUUAGGAUACUUGUUUAAUGAAGAAGU